AGUUGUAGAGCAUUGUGGGGUUUUGAUACUUGUGUGUAUUUACACAUGCUGCUCUGUAAAAAUAACUAACAUUUUGCAAAACUCAGUCUGAAAGCUGUGCAGUAUAAAGAGCAGGGGAAAAAAUUGGAAAAUUAAUAGGAGUGAAGAAAUAAAGUAAAAAAGCUGGGAGGUCAGCAUGCUGUAAACCUGAUGAUGAAAGGUCUGAAGUUCAGAAUCUUCAUCUCAUAAGUACUUAGGAGAUGAGGCGCACAUAUAUUCCGUAAGGUUUGAAGCUUUUUUCUCUUAUGCUGAAAGUCCAUAUAAGGUCAUUAUUCUGCAAAAAGAUAUCCUGGCUUAUUGGUAGUUCCUUGUGAUCUUAAUACCACUCGUAUGUUCCUCACUUCAGUAGUGUUCCAUGGCUACGUGUCUGAAGUCUACUGCAGCUGAAAUGGUGCUUGUAUCUAGUGAAAGAAAUCAAGUGUCUGAAGAGAGAGCUUUACCGGCGUACAGUGCUUCCCUGUGUCAUUGUUAAUUACAGUCUUGGAAAACCAAAUUGGAGGAAGAUGCAACUAGUCUCUCUUAUCUUCAUUGGAGAGAUUUGCACAGAAUAUUCUUCAAGAAACUGCACUUGUAAAAUCUGAUUUGGACAGAAGUCUCCACAGCAGCAUCCUUUCAGUAUCACAGCAUCUGAGAUCAGCUCCAUAAGGACUACUCUCCUACUCCAUCAUCCCCCAUCCUUUACUCAUAACAAGGAUUGUCCCAGCCUAGGUGCAGGAGCUUGCAAUGGGCCUUGUUCAACCACAUGAAGUUCAUCUGAGCCAGAUUCUCCAGCCUGUCCAGGUAUUUCGAUGCCUGACUCCAGAGUGGAAUAAGGAAAUGUAAGUGAAUUGCCAUGGACAGCUGCAAGAGUUAAAAGAAGCAUCUCUUAAAGAAAACAUUAUUGGAGGAAAUGGAUAGCAAUUAGGCUGCUGCUAGCAUCUCAGAAUACAGGAUAGCCACAUGUAAUUUAAGUAAUAUGCAAACUAUAACUUGUAGCACUAGAGACAUUUACGCGUUUCAUUCAGCACUGUAAGAAGUAUGGACUGUGGUCAGCACUUACUAGCAAAUUCAGCCUCAUCCAGCUGAAUGUUGUUUAUCUCUUUCCAUUUCAUUAUUCACUAUCAUUUGUUGUUGAUACCUACACUAUUAGCACCACAUUAAACACCUUAAAGUAA